rnacentral:rRNA from 1 species
UACCAGCACCCCGAGUGGUCGGGACGUUUAUUGGGCCUAAAGCAUCCGUAGCCGGUUCUACGAGUCUUCCGUUAAAUCCAACUGCUUAACAGGUGGGCUGCGGAAGAUACUAUAGAGCUAGGAGGCGGGAGAGGCAAGCGGUACUCGAUGGGUAGGGGUAAAAUCCGUUGAUCCAUUGAAGACCACCAGUGGCGAAGGCGGCUUGCCAGAACGCGCUCGACGGUGAGGGAUGAAAGCGUGGGUAGCGAACAGG